ensembl:lncRNA
AUUGAGUGAAGUCAUUUUCUUCUCCUUGGUUGUGUUGGUUGAUUGCCUUCUUCUUAGUGCCACAUGGAGUGUGUCAAGUGUCUUCGCAUUUCACAGGGGAGACUGAAUGAAAGCUGCAGGAGUAUCAUGAAGAGCUCACUCAUUGAGUCAGCUGAACAACCGUUUUUGUUCUGUGUAUCAAAUCACCAGUGUCUGACCCCCUUUAAAUCAAACCUGUACCCAGUCUCUUGUAACCAGUCUCACACAGGGUCUUGGGGCAGCAGUAGUUACUUUGGUCAUCAGAGGAGAGAGUCUAUGCUUGGCUUCACCCUCAAAACCAGAAAAUCUGGCAAAAGCAGGGUCAAGUCUAGGACAGGAGCUUUUCUCUGGUGCACAUGGAUGGCUGGAUUGUUGGAGUUUCUUCAGCAGUCUGAAAUCUCACCUUUGGGAUUCUGUAUCUUUAGAGUGAUCCUGCAGCAUCCCUGUAAGUAAAUUUUUAUAUUGAUAGAUAUACAUUUACAUAUUUCUCUUUCUUUUGUCCUAAUUUAUUUUAAAAGUACCCUGUAGCCCAUCGUGUAGUUUCAACCCUCCUCAUCAUUUGCCGUGAGGAUCACCUGCUGGGACUCAUUAAUUUGCUCUUUGUGGUGACCACAGCUUUGCCUCUCCAAGAUCCUCUGGGCAGAAGGAAUACAUCAUAUUCUCUGGUGGGGUUUGCUUUGUGUGUGUGGAAGGCUUCUCUCAAUUCCAGGAGCCCUGAGGGGGCAGCCCUGAGGGCCACCGUGCCUGCCUAGAGGUGGUAUGUACAUUUGGAGGCUACCAGGCUGCUCCAACACCAGGAUUAGGGUUGUCAAAUGAAGAGGAAGGCAGGAGACCUCUGGCAAGGCAGAGUUCCUCAUAAGGUAAGAGAGCUGAAACAUAUGAUGGGUCUUGGGCCUUUGGUUUGUGAUUGGUUGGAGAUACUUUUGAAUCAGUCAAGGUAUGUCGCUGCAUGUCUUGCUUAGCCUGGGUGAGGUGGGGUGAUUUAUUCUAGGUUCUUCCACAGAGGAGGCCAGAGCAACAGCAACUUGAGGGGCUUGGGGGAGCUAUAGUCUUUUAAAGACCUUACCAGCUAACUUUGGGAGACCUGGAAUCCCAGGAGAGAAAUGGAAUAAAGAUUUUUUCCUUCUUCCUGCUCCCUCUCUCUUUUAUUCCUGUAUUUAGUGCCUCAGUUUGCCAGGUGCUAUGUCAAGUGCCUCCCAAGGGCAUUUAGUAGGUGUUAAAAUUUAAGGUCCUGGAAUGAGAGCACUUGGAUUUGAAUCCUGGAUUUGCCCAUUUACUGGCUGAGUGACUUGGGCAAAUAACCUAGCCUUUUGUGUGCCUCAGUGUCCAGCUGUGUGAAAUGCAGGCAAUAUUAGCAUCUGUUUCAUAAUGUUGUCAUAAGUAGACGAGUAAACACACUUAAAACACUUCAAAUCAGUACCUGGCACAAAAUAAGCAUGCAGUAAGUGUUAGCUGUUAUUAUUCUCAUCUCAUGUAAUUAUUGUGGAAAGUAUUCCCUCCUCCCCCCCCCCAUACCCCACUUUUUUUUUUUUUUUUUUUUGCUGAGGACACUGAUUCUUAGAAAAGCAGAGUGUCAAAGCCAGUUUCCAAACCCUGGUCUGUCUUGUCUCCAAACCUCAUGAUCUUUCUGCUACGUUCUGCCACCUCUUGGUUGUCGCCUGUUUGUCUCUGAGGCUGGUACAUGCUGAAUAAUUCAGCCUAAAGGGUUUGAAGACUCUUGAGAGUCACUUGGACUGCAAGGAGAUCCAACCAGUCCAUCCUAAAGGAAAUCAGUCCUGGGUAUUCAUUGGAAGGACUGAUGCUGAAGCUGAAACUCCAAUACUUUGGCCAUGUCAUGCGAAAAGUUGACUCAUUGGAAAAGACCCUGAUGCUGGGAGGGAUUGGGUGCAGGAGGAGAAGGGGACGACAGAGGAUGAGAUGGUUGGAUGGCAUUACCGACUCGAUGGGUAUGAGUUUGAGUAAACUCUGGGAGUUGGUGAUGGACAGGGAGGCCUGGCGUGCUGCGAUUCAUGGGGUCACAAAGAGUCAGACAUGACUGAGCAACUGAACUGAACUGAACUGAAAGGGUUUGACAAAAAUGAACUCAAGAGUCCUUCAAUAGAGUGAGAGGGCAACUAAGGUCUCUCAACAGAAGUUGGAAUGAGGUUAACCACUUCUUGUUUAGGCCAGCAAGAGAUGCUUUCUGCUCUCAUUUCCUGUCAUUGGAAUAUUAUGUUUGUAAAUAGCAUUUUU